AAAUCCUUACAUAUCCUUAUGGGGUAUUAUUUUUGAAUUUCAAUAACUCAUGUCUCUCAAUCAGAUUAUUCAAACAUACUCAAAGUUUACAAGAAGUACUCAUAUACUUCUAAAAACUACUACAACAAAUUUCAACUCCAGAUUCAUUACAAAUCUUAAGAUAUUGCCAAAAUCCUAAUGGUAGCUUCAAACCAUAGUUUUUAUACACCUACAUGUAAUUUUCUUCAUAUAUCACAAACUAAGUAUUCAAAUGCUACAAAUUUAUAUUUAUAGCUUUUUAACACAUUAAUCUAUCUUUUUCAAAAGAUUUGAGUCAAAAAUUCAUUUAGAAACUUAAGAUAUGGCUCCAAUCAUUACUAUGAACAAUAUCACUCACUUACUAUCUUUGAUUUGGAUGUACUAAUUUCAACUCUCUAUAACUUCUUUAUCUAAACUCUUAAUAUAAUAAUUUCUUAAUAAAAGAUGUAAGUCAUAAAAUUUCCAUUUUAAUUGCAUCUUUUU
rnacentral:lncRNA from 1 species